rnacentral:rRNA from 1 species
GACGUAGGGCGCGAGCGUUGUCCGGAUUUAUUGGGCGUAAAGAGCUCGUAGGCGGCUCGUUGCGUCGGCUGUGAAAACCCGCGGCUCAACUGUGGGCUUGCAGCUGAUACGGGCGGGCUGGAGUUCGGUAGGGGAGACUGGAAUUCCUGGUGUAGCGGUGAAAUGCGCAGAUAUCAGGAGGAACACCUAUUGCGAAGGCAGCUCGCUGGGACGUAACUGACGCUGAGACGCGAAAGCGUGGGGAGCAAACAGG